rnacentral:rRNA from 1 species
UACGUAGGUGGCAAGCGUUGUCCGGAUUACUGGCGUAAAGAGCGCGCAGGCGGUCGUACAAGUCGCGUGUGAAAGCCCCGGCUCAACUGGGAGGGUCACGCGAUACUGUUCGACUCGAAGGCAGGAGAGGGAAGUGGAAUUCCCGGUGUAGUGGUGAAAUGCGUAGAUAUCGGGAGGAACACCAGUGGCGAAGGCGACUUCCUGGCCUGUUCUUGACGCUGAGGCGCGAAAGCUAGGGUAGCAAACGGG